UUAUUAAAUCUCCGGUUUUAAUGACAACGGACAUUGUGUAGAAUCUAACGACGGCGUUAGUAAUAACCAUAUCGCGUUCAUAUGACGGAGCCUGAAUGUCAUCUGAAAAGUCGGACUUAUUAAGUUCAAUAUUUUCGACAUUUUCAUCGGAAAGCCAAUGUCGAAGCAGUCGAUGCAGUGUAUCACAAUUUCCACAACAAUUUACUCGGUUUCCUAUACGGUUACCAAUUCAAUUUCAACGGAAGGAAAUGUCGAAUGUAAAAUAAAAAACAACCGAGACGCCACCGUUUAUAAAACAACGGAUUAUUUCGGAUAAUAACAACAUCGGCCCUGCGACGCGCAAACGAAAACCGAUAAACCGAUACGGUGUCGACGACGAGUAUUUUCAUGUGCGCGGCAACAAUGAAUUUCGGUUCGAAAACGAUUUCAAUUCAGAAUCGUUUCGAAAACCGAUUACGAUUAUAAGUAAUAACUAUCGGAGGCGAUACGAGCACACAAAAGGGUCACUGUCUAAAAUAAGAUAUUUUUGAAAAAUCCUGAUGCGAUUCGAGUAACAUCUUUGCGAAAGGAAUUCGCGGGAGGCGAUUCGUGAGCGCCCGAUCGGGGCGGUUU